AAUAAAUAUCCGUUCCUUUUCUGUUAACAUCAGUAACUCUGCUUGCCAUUUCUCAACUCACCAACCAAGAGUUCCUCCCCAUCGCUUACUGUUGAGAGAUCAAGAGGAACGAAGCCUGAGAAUGACAUUGGAUUUAGCAACCAACGGAUCAUCGGCGACAUGGCAGCGAGCGUUUUCAUUUGGCUGGUGAAACCAGAAUGCGAGAGAUCGGGAAGUCGUGGGUCAAUUUGAAGAAAGAAAAAAAGAAACGAACCCCCAAACCUCCUAUAUUUCGAACUUGUCCAAGCAGGCGACUCCUACUCACUUUUGGUGAUUCAUAUGGACACAAACAAUCCUACCAGAAGCAAUGCAGAAAGGAUUGCCAAAAAGUACAACUACGGAGACAACUACUACUCAGGUGGGAAGGAGGGACCAUCUGACCUUUGAGGGUCCUUCCAGGAGGACUGAAGGAAGAGGAUGUCAGUAGCACCGAUAAUUAACCCACCAAUCAACCAGUGCCAGUGAUAUGUCAAGCUCUAGGCAUACAAAUGCCCUCAGAGAGUUUACAUUCUAAUGGAAAGACGGAAACAAUGGCUGGAAAAUCCAGGGUUCAAAUCUUGCUUAUGGUACUUUAAGCAAAUCACUUCAUUCUCUGUGCCUCAGUUUCCUCAUCUGUAAAACGAGGGGGUUGCCUUGGAUGACUUCUGAGGAACCUUCCUGCUGUGUCCUGGGGUGGAAUAAGCUCAGCUCCCUGAGGUCAGACUUCUUUUGCCCACCUGGAUGGGUCCCAGACCUCUCCAGAUGUCUUUCCCAGGGAGGUGAGCCUUCUAGCGAACAGGAACUCCUCCUUCCUAAACCGGAUAUGGGCUAAAGGACAAGGGGCCCGGAGUUGUUUUUUUCCCUUUCCUGACAUCCCUCCUUCUCCUUGGGGAUGGUUUCCUCAGCAAUGCAGGCAGCAGCUGUGGCUCGCAGCCCUCCCCAGAGCUUAGGAAUGUUUCCGUCCUCUCCCUCAAUCUUAAUGAGCCAUCAAGAGUGAGCAGCUUCCAGAGGGUCUGGGAGGGAGGGAGAGAGUCUUUCCCAUCAACCUCCUGCCCGUUUCCUGCUCCUUAACCUGGUAUCCAGGAACUUGGUUUUGGUCUCCA
rnacentral:lncRNA from 1 species